rnacentral:rRNA from 1 species
CAGCAGCCACGGUAAUACGUAGGGUGCAAGCGUUAAUCGGAAUUACUGGGCGUAAAGCGUGCGCAGGCGGUUCGCUAAGACAGAUGUGAAAUCCCCGGGCUUAACCUGGGAACUGCAUUUGUGACUGGCGGGCUAGAGUAUGGCAGAGGGGGGUAGAAUUCCACGUGUAGCAGUGAAAUGCGUAGAGAUGUGGUGGAAUACCGAUGGCGAAGGCAGCCCCCUGGGCCAAUACUGACGCUCAUGCACGAAAGCGUGGGGAGCAAACAGGAUUAGAUACCCGCGUAGUCCCUGUCUCUUAUAU